rnacentral:rRNA from 1 species
UACGGAGGGGACUAGCGUUGUUCGGAAUUACUGGGCGUAAAGCGCACGUAGGCGGAUUUGUAAGUCAGGGGUGAAAUCCCGGGGCUCAACCUCGGAACUGCCUUUGAUACUGCAAAUCUCGAGUCCGGAAGAGGUGAGUGGAAUUCCUAGUGUAGAGGUGAAAUUCGUAGAUAUUAGGAAGAACACCAGUGGCGAAGGCGGCUCACUGGUCCGGUACUGACGCUGAGGUGACGAAAGCGUGGGGAGCAAACAGG